rnacentral:tRNA from 1 species
UAAUAAGAAGCAAAAUUUUGCAUUUAGUUUCGACCUAAAAAUUUGAUUAUUUAAAUCCUUAUUUU